GGCUCAGGAUGAACGCUAGCGGCAGGCUUAAUACAUGCAAGUCGUGGGGCAGCAUGAGUAGCAAUACUUGAUCGGCGACCGGCAAACGGGUGAGGAACACGUACACAACCUUCCUUCAAGCGGGGAAUAGCCCAGAGAAAUUUGGAUUAAUACCCCAUAAUAUAUUUGAUAAGGCAUCUUAUUAAUAUUAAAGCUUCGGCACUUGAUGAUGGGUGUGCGGCUGAUUAGAUAGUUGGCGGGGUAACGGCCCACCAAGUCUACGAUCAGUAGCUGAUGUGAGAGCAUGAUCAGCCACACGGGCACUGAGACACGGGCCCGACUCCUACGGGAGGCAGCAGUAAGGAAUAUUGGACAAUGGACGAAAGUCUGAUCCAGCCAUGCCGCGUGAAGGAUUAAGGUCCUCUGGAUUGUAAACUUCUUUUAUAUGGGACGAAAAAGGGCAUUCUUGUUCACUUGACGGUACCAUAUGAAUAAGCACCGGCUAACUCCGUG
rnacentral:rRNA from 1 species